UCCAAUGACUGAAGAAGACUUCCAGAGCAGAACUAUCAAGGCCAUAGCUCAAGCUUCAAACAUCUCAUUAUUAGAUAGAAUCAAAAGGAUAAAGUGGAAUUUACCAAAAAGGACGGAGAUGAGCUACAAAAGUUCUGAAACCAAGAAGGUGGUCUGAUGCAAACGGUUCGGUUUUAAAUCUAGAUCUAAACACCGGAAGAUCCAAAAGUCUGAUUUCAGGAUCACCCUGUACCACACAUCUCGCCAACAUUUCCUGCCCUGUACAUUUCCAGUUGGAGCUUUACCAUUAUGUACAGGGCUGAUAAAAGAACAGGGAGUUUUAUUGUGUAAGCCUGCAUGCGAGCGUGUAGAUGGUAUACGGAUGUAUGUACCGUGUCAGAGCUAAUUCCCCGUGUGGCUUGUAAUCAUUGCUUUAAACUCCUCUGCUGCACUGUUUAUUACUCUGUUCAAAAUCUGCUGAAGAAAGGACUAAGUAAGUAAGUAAGUAAGUAAAUAAAUAAAUAAAUAAAUGACGGCGUGCCAGCUGACCGCAUCGCUGACUCGGCUAGAGACAACAUUUCUGCCAAAAUGAUCACUAAAAAUACAGGCUGGAGGCGGACGCUCCUGUAUUAUUCCUGUCGGUCAUUUAGACGUUUCCACACACCGCGGAACCUCAGGAUAAAUCGUGAAAAUGCAUGCAAAUUAAUAACAACAGGUACGGGGGCAAAAAAAUCCUCCAGAUAGCCGCAAGCAAAAAAAAAACUUCCUGGAAAAAAAAAAAAGCGAAUAAAAUGACUCAGUCGUUCCUUGUGUGAUGUUAUGAAAUAAUCAGAAGGUUAUAAACCAGGUUAAAGGUUCAAGCAAGCUCUUCCAGUUUGAGUUGGAUAGUUUCAAAAACAACGCUCCUGAGCCGCUUUCUCGAUAACGACAGGCCUUUUGUCUGUUUGUACUGGUUCGUAUCCAAAAUCGAAUACAAAAGCCUUUGUAUAGACGAUAAGUUAAUUUUUUUCCUUUUCUGUUUACCUUGGCGGAAAGCCAAGGAGAAAAGUUGCGCGGGA